ensembl:misc_RNA 7SK 7SK RNA
GGAUGUGAGGGCGAUCUGGCAGCGACAUCUGUCACUCCAUUUAUCACGAGGGUUGAUUUGGCUGAUCUGGCUGGCUAGGCGGGUGUCCCCUUCCUGCCUCACUGCUCUAUGUGCGUCCCUCUGGAAGCUGUGAGCUCAGUCAAAGAGGAUGGCCUUCCCUGAAUAGAGACAGACAGGUCUUUGGUCGAGGGUAUAGGAGUAGCUGAGCUCCCUUGCUGGAACCUCCAAACAAGCUCUCAAGGUCCAAGGUGGUAACUAGUUAGUCUGGUGAAAGUUGAUGGUAUAUUUGUUGGGUAUUUCAGUACUUGACC